CCUACGGGAGGCUGCAGUGAGGAAUAUUGGUCAAUGGGCGCUAGCCUGAACCAGCCAAGUAGCGUGAAGGAUGACUGCCCUAUGGGUUGUAAACUUCUUUUAUAUAGGAAUAAAGUGCAGUAUGUAUACUGCUUUGCAUGUACCUUAUGAAUAAGGAUCGGCUAACUCCGUGCCAGCAGCCGCGGUAAUACGGAGGAUCCGAGCGUUAUCCGGAUUUAUUGGGUUUAAAGGGAGCGUAGGUGGGUUGUUAAGUCAGUUGUGAAAGUUUGCGGCUCAACCGUAAAAUUGCAGUUGAUACUGGCAGCCUUGAGUACAGUUGAGGUAGGCGGAAUUCGUGGUGUAGCGGUGAAAUGCUUAGAUAUCACGAAGAACUCCGAUUGCGAAGGCAGCCUGCUAGACUGCAACUGACACUGAUGCUCGAAAGUGUGGGUAUCAAACAGGAUUAGAUACCCUAGUAGUC
rnacentral:rRNA from 1 species